ensembl:lncRNA
GUCCUUAACAGCAGUUUGAGAACCAGAACAAAGCCAGAGAGAGUUUCAAAGCACAGCAGCUCUCCCCACUCUGCUGUUUGUUCUGCUCAUAAGCAGACAAGCUGUUUCCUUUCAUCUGGAAAAACUCACACAAUAAGAAAAAUACCUCAAUAGAAUCUGACUCUGUAAUAACAAAGCCCAAGGGGCAGCCAGAAAGAAAUCUUCUGGUAAGUAAAAAAUAUUUGGUGUUCGGAUCCCUCAGAGAAAGCUGACUGCUUCUGGGUGUAGGGCAGCCGUACAUCCCACUGCUGCCAGAGGAGGUCAAGGGAUUCAUUGAGGCAUUUCUCCUUCUUGUCUCCCUUCCCCAGUCCCAGAUGAAGGCUGCAGCCCUUGUAGGUCAGCACAAAAGCAAACGGAGGAAGCAGGAGCAAGGAGAUAAUAGGGAGAAGGAAGCACAUGAAAGGCGGCACAUAGGGAUGAAACGACUCUCUGUAACACCCUUGAGAAGGGGGAAGAAUUACAAGCACAAAUGGAGGGCUCAGCUUAAAUUCUGAAUCUGGACCUGUGGUAGCAGUGCUGCAGUUCAGAGGAUCCGGCAAAAAUCUCUCCCCGAAACACUGUUUUGAUAAAUAUGCCAUCUCCUUGUGGAAUUCAAAUCUCCAACUGUUCAACUGGCAUGGACAUCUCUGCAGUAACAACACAUGCCACAGAUUGCACGUCUGCUUCUUGGGGAAAGGCUACACCAGGGACACUCCUCAAACAGCUGGUCACUGCCACGACGAGGAGGAAAGGUCUCUUCCAGGAGGAUUGAGUAUUUCAGUAAACAAUGCAGUUACUGCGGUGUAAUCAGACAUCACUGAAACACACAGAUAACUUCUGCAGUUACCUGGCAAUGAACUUUUCACAUCUGCAUGCAAUUAUAAGCUAGAAAUGCCAGUCUAAGUUCUGACAGGGUAGUGGGGAGCAUCUCCUAAUGACUAAGUGCUUUGCUUACCUAAAAGCAUAUGCAUGCUGAAUUCAAUAUAAAAGGAAUUAGAAGAGUUGAAGGAAUAGAAGCAAUAUGGGAAUUUGUGAACCAAGAAGAAGGAAGGCUUUACUAUACAGAUGGUUGUGUAUGUCUGUGAUGAAAGUCUCAGUGGGGGAGCUCAAAAAAGGGCAGGGACCCUCUCAUGAGUCACCAUCUGAUAAAAAUAGAUGGCAGUUAGAUGAAACACGUGAACGUAUGAACGGAGCUCUCCUUCACACAAGGGACAAAAGGCUGUAAGAGAAGUAUGACAACAGAAUGAAAAGUCAGAGACAACUGAUAUCUAAUCUAUUUUCUAGACAACACAGAGUUAUCCUCUGUAAUCCAUUACGUGCCCUACCUGACCAUCUUAAGGUCAGAUCAAUUUGCCACUGCCAUGACACCACGUAUUUCAAUCUAACCUCCCUGGAUAUCUGGG